GUCACUGUUAAGCUCUAUCUAUCGGCUUUUCUUAUAAAUCAUUAAGCUUGUAUCUAUAUUUGUUGUUUUGAGGCCUUAGUACUAUUCUUUCUGGAAGAUAGUACUUAUGGGUGGUGAUAGCCUUUGGAAAUUUGCUGGUUUUUCUUUUUGAUCGGAAAGUUUUUCACUCUUCCAGACGGUGAAAGAAGCUAGGCGACGCUACUAUUCCUCCCCAACUU
rnacentral:misc_RNA from 1 species